rnacentral:lncRNA from 1 species
UGGGCAAUCCUAUACACAAUGUAAAGCUUGAUUUUAUGGUUCCAUGGGUUCUAUUGAAUCUUCUCAUUCCCUCGGUGUACCUUUAUUCUUUUAUUUUUGUGUAAUGAGCCAGUAGUUUAUUAAACCAAUAUCUGGAUAACUAGGGCCUAGGGGUUAAUAGGCCUCGAAAAAAUCUAUACAUUUUCUCCCCAGUUACCAAUGUACUCCAUAUACAUAAUUUGUAAUCAAUAUAAACCUGUGUACUUUUUCAAAUCUGAGGUUUCCUACAUGCUUUUAUUAUAGGUAUCAAGUUUAUUUUAUUCCUCUAAUUUGAAAUGUUUGCCAUAAUACUAUCUUCCUAUAUUCAUCAGCUUUCUGUUGUUAUGCCUAUGAUUUGAUCUUGUUCUUUCGUUGCCUAUUAAUUUAUUAUAAGUUUACUGGACUGCUUUUGUAGGGCCGAUUUGAGUUACUCUUCUUUUCUGGAU